AUUUUACCUCGAACCGUGCUCGAAUGGAGCGUGGUAGUACACUAGCUAGUAGGCCGACAACGCUUAACGGUAAAGACACAUGUCGAAAGCUGUGGAACUCAUCAGGAUUUGAUUACUGCUGUGAUCUGAUGGACAGCAACAACAUCAGACGUGUGGACAUAUUGGAUACAGCCUGCCCACCGUGUAGCAUUGACAGCCACAGUGGCAAGCAUGUUCCAGCAAAGUAGCGGUGCCACUGUAUGCAAAUACCAUCAUCAUUGAACAACCAGCCAAUCUUGUGACUCUAGGGCAACAUUGUUUUGAGCUUGUAAGCCAGGGACUUCAUUCAAAAAAGUUGUUUGGUAACAUUGCUUCCCAACAUCUGAGUGUGAUCUGUAACCCCACAAGUGCAUACUACAGGCUCAUACUGUUUAACACCAUUCGACGUUUCACAACAUGAGUGGAUAGUUUGGUUAGUACAACCCUGCUUCAUUGUUCUACGAGUCAUUGGUAUCUCUACAUAGCUCUAGCAUAAUCCUUGAAUAUUAAUCCUGCUGUAAUCUUAGUAUAUUUUUAAAACAAUUUUACAGGGUCUUGCAAAGGCAUGCUCAAGCACACAUGCCAUUCAUACUCCCAGCCCAAAUAUUUUAUCAGCAUUCGAGAUUUGGACAUAUUUAUCAACAAAAG
rnacentral:misc_RNA from 1 species